UCCUCAUCCCCUAUCAUCUAGUCAGCAGUCCAGCACAGCCGACCUUAAUCACAACACAUCUCUUUCUCUUGUCCCUAACCCCGCCCUACACACACAGGCCAGAUCUCCUAGACACCUGGAUGGCAGCUUAGCAUAAAGAGCCAGCUGCCUUCUCGUAGAGCCAAAACAUCAGUGUGUGGUCCAGACCGUUGGCAAGUAGACCUGGGCAUCCUGAAUCUACAGCUCGGACCGCAUCUCUGCAUCUUGCCCAAGGGGAGUCUAUGAAGCAGUUGCCUUUCUUAAUUAAAAGGGAAACGAAGAGAUGAGCCUGGAGGCUCGCCACUCACAUUCGCCUGGACACUGCUGGACAAUGGAGCAUGUCCCCACCCACAGGAGAUGUCCCAUCAGCCUCGGCUCCGGAAUAAGAAAGACGUUGUGGGCUUCCUGCCAAUCCCAAGUAGCCAUGUCGUGAGAUCCGAUACGUAAACCUUUGUGUGUUAAGCCACAGCAAUUUGGGAGUCCUUUGUUACUGCAGCGUAACCUGGAUUAUCCUGACUGGUUCUAUGAGAAAGAUACUCAAAACAGUGACUCUAGUGAGCUGUAUACCAAGGCAUCUGCCAAUCAAAGCAGCCCUACACACUCAUGCCAAACAGCCAUAUAUUAGUGGAAGCCAGAGGAAGAAAUUACAUAUUGCUUGUUAUUCCCGGUGUCAUCGAUGGCUAAGUCACCAUCCCCUAUCUUCCUCACAACAGUGUUUCUUCCCAGCUUGAUAAUGAUAGCUGUAGUUAAAAACUACCAUUCAUUGAUCAUUUGUCAUAUGUCGCACACCAUAUAAAGUAUUUACAAGUCUACGUGAGAGUCAUUCUUAGCCUCAGAUUUCAGACGUGAAAACCAAAACCCAAAGCACCAAUCUUAACAUUGCCUAAAGCCACAUAGCAUCCUAUUCCAGAGCAAAUGUUCGUAACUACUCUCCUUCAGACCAUCCCACAAACAUCUUCCCCAAAAGACAAUCUGCCUCCACUGGGUCACACUGGCUCCAUUCUUUUCUCAGAUACCAUGGUCAGCCCUGCCCUUGGUCACAAUGGAUUUAAGAGGCCUUGGUUGAAGGAUACUGUGACAGCUAUUAGAUCAAUCUGAUCAAUGGCCCCAUGAAAGAGCUGAAUAUCUAAACACUGUUUUCUGGGCCCUUUUUGGUCUUACUCUUAGCUAGUUUCUCAGCCUAUAAAUAGGACCCUGUCUCACUUUAGUGCAAUGGCUCUCAACCUUCUUAAUGCUGCAACUCCUUAGUAUAGUUUCUCAUGCUGUGGUGACCCCCAACCAUAAAUUAAUGUCACUGCUACUUCACAAUUAUAACUUUGCUACUGUUCUGAACCGUAAUGUAAAUAUUUUUGGAGAUAGAGGUUUGCCAGAGGGGUCAUGACCCUAGGUUGAGAACCUCUACUCUAGUGCCUGAGUUCCUGCUUCAGUGCUAGCUAAUGCUGGGCUUCAUCCUGUAGUAGACUUCUGGGUCUGACUUACCACCUCCACUCCAGCUGUUGCUACUUCAGCCCCUACCACAGCCAACCAGAUUUACCUCUGAUGGAUUUCCUGUGAACCUGGUAGUGUUUCAUCAACUUGCUACAAGCUAGAGUCAUUUCAGAAGAGGGAAGCUCAACUGAGUAAAUGCCACCAGCCGAUUGGACUGUGAACUGGAGCCUUUAAUUGGUUUAUGAUUGAAGUAGGAGAGCCAGAUCACUGUGGGUGGUACCGCCCCUGGGCUGGUGGUCCUGGGUUACAUAAGAAAACAGUCUGAGCAAGCCAUAGGGAGCAAGAGCCUAAGCAGCCUUUCUCCAUGGCUUCUGCUUCAGUGCCUGCCUCCAGACUUUUGCUCUGACUUUCUUCAUUGUUGAACUAUGAUGUAAGCGAAAAUAAACCCUUUCCUC
rnacentral:lncRNA from 1 species